UCUUCGGCAAUGGACGAAAGUCUGACCGAGCAACGCCGCGUGAGUGAAGAAGGUUUUCGGAUCGUAAAACUCUGUUGUUAGAGAAGAACAAGGAUGAGAGUAACUGUUCAUCCCUUGACGGUAUCUAACCAGAAAGCCACGGCUAACUACGUGCCAGCAGCCGCGGUAAUACGUAGGUGGCAAGCGUUGUCCGGAUUUAUUGGGCGUAAAGCGAGCGCAGGCGGUUUCUUAAGUCUGAUGUGAAAGCCCCCGGCUCAACCGGGGAGGGUCAUUGGAAACUGGGAGACUUGAGUGCAGAAGAGGAGAGUGGAAUUCCAUGUGUAGCGGUGAAAUGCGUAGAUAUAUGGAGGAACACCAGUGGCGAAGGCGGCUCUCUGGUCUGUAACUGACGCUGAGGCUCGAAAGCGUGGGGAGCAAACAGGAUUAGAUACCCUGGUAGUCCACGCCGUAAACGAUGAGUGCUAAGUGUUGG
rnacentral:rRNA from 1 species